GACGAACGCUGGCGGCGUGCUUAACACAUGCAAGUCGAACGGAAAGGCCUGCUUUCCCUUGUGGAUUGCGGGUACUCGAGUGGCAAACGGGUGAGUAACACGUGAGUGAUCUGCCCCCAACUUGGGUAUAAGCCUGGGAAACUGGGUCUAAUUCCCGAUAGGACUGCAGGGUGGUGCCUGUGGUGGAAAGCGAUUUUCUAGUGGUUGGGGAUGAGCUCGCGGCCUAUCAGCUUGUUGGUGGGGUAAUGGCCUACCAAGGCGGCGACGGGUAGCCGGCCUGAGAGGGUGGACGGCCACAGUGGGACUGAGAUACGGCCCAGACUCCUACGGGAGGCAGCAGUGGGGAAUAUUGCACAAUGGGCGGAAGCCUGAUGCAGCGACGCCGCGUGGGGGAUGACGGCCUUCGGGUUGUAAACUCCUUUCGACCGCGAGGAAGCCACCUGGUUGGAAGGGUGGUGACGGUAGUGGUAGAAGAAGCACCGGCUAACUACGU
rnacentral:rRNA from 1 species